UCUUAACUGACUUGCCUAUUUAAAUAAAGGUUAAAUCAUAUAUUUUUUAUCAUCCCUUUUACCUAGGUAACAUCAGACAGUGACCAUGUGGCCAACACUACCGUCAAGGUCCACCUACCCAAAAGAGCUCCUGAUAGCCAAAGAGAACGAUACCAUCAUCUUCUGCAUGAUUACCUCACCUGAAAAAUAUGGGCCAUCGGGACUUCUUGAUGGCCAAGUAGGAGGUCUGGCUGUGAGCAUGAAGACAGUGUUGGGUCUGCAGGACAAGAUUAACUUCUUCAUGCCUCUACAGCGCCCCACAUUGGAAAGUCAGGCUGACAAACAACCAUCUUGUCAAUGCUUUAAUUUUUCAACCAACGAGUUCUACCAGGAUGACUGCACCACAGAGUGGAAGAGAGACGAGGGCCGUGUGGUGUGCUCAUGUGACCACCUCAUAUUUUGCUGUGCUGAUGGUAGACAACUUUACAACUACCACAGUCCUUCCUUCGUUUCCUUAUCGCAGCAUAAGCACUUCUUAAAUGGAAGAGAAUAAAAACAAAAGUCAGUGAAGUAUACCCAUCUACUAAGAUACACUGUAGCAUUAGUUGUAUUUUCCUGCGUUUAGGUGUCUCCAUCUCUGAAAGCGAUCAGCAGAUCCUAAGCUACAUCACUCUGAUUGGCUGCAGUCUGUCUCUGUUCUUCCUGGUGGUCACAAUCUUUCUGUGCGCGACUCAAAGAGGUAUAUGCACAGACAUCUCCCUGAAGGUGCAUAUCAACCUGUCUGUGGCCCUGAUCCUCCUCAACCUACACUUCCUGCCCAGCCAGCAGGUAGCAGCAUUAUCCUCCUCUGGGCCAUGUAUCUAUGUUGCUGUCCUUCUGCAUUACUCUCUACUGGCCACCUUCACAUGGACAGCAAGCGAAGGCUUCCACCUUUACCUGUUGCUGGUCCGUGUCUUCAACAUCAAUGUCAGGAGAUACCUGCUCAAACUGAGCCUGGUAGAAUGGUGUGAGAUUGCACUUUACAACCUGAAACUGGCUGUAUGACUGUAAACAGUAAGCAAUAAUAACGGUGGCGAACGAGAUGGCUGUCGUUUUACGAUCCCGUAACCAAUUGUGCUAUUGUGAAUGUUUUUUCACAUUAUUUGUAAGUUAUUUGGUACAUAAUGUUUCUGCCACCAUGUCUUAUGACCGAAAAUAACUUCUAGAUAUCAGGAAAACUAUUACUCACCCCGUACUGGAGGAAUAGUUUUUCUUCAACGAGUCAGGUGGGAAGGAUUUACUGCAGACGCCCGACAAGGCCCUUAUCCUCGUAAUUCACAGGAGAAAGAGACGGAGGUAUCGUGGAUGAAGAUCCGGGUGCCUUGUUAGGAUCUGUCGCCGAAAGGGUAAUCUACCUUUUCCUUUCGGUCCUAGUAGCCAAUGUACAAUCAAUCCAUAAUAAAAUAGACGAACUACGAUCACGUACAGUGGGGCAAAAAAGUAUUUUAGUCAGCCACCAAUUGUGCAAGUUCUCCCACUU